rnacentral:rRNA from 1 species
GACGUAGGGUGCGAGCGUUGUCCGGAUUUAUUGGGCGUAAAGAGCUCGUAGGCGGUUUGGCAAGUCAGGUGUGAAAUCUCCGGGCUCAACUCGGAGAGGCCACCUGAUACUGCUAUGACUAGAGUCCGGUAGGGGACCAUGGAAUUCCUGGUGUAGCGGUGAAAUGCGCAGAUAUCAGGAGGAACACCAAUGGCGAAGGCAGCUCGCUGGGACGGCACUGACGCUGGAGACGCGAAAGCGUGGGAGC